UGUACGAGUUUUUUUCAGUCUCACUGAUCUAAUCUCUGCUACACCUUUACAAAAAUGUAAGGUUCUAAAUAAAAAGUUUUAAUGAGUAACUCCUUAAUAAAACUCCUCAUAAGCAUUGAUUUAUUGUAAUGGCUCCCAAUAAAAGUUAUGGGCUAUUAAAAGUUAUAACUUAAGUUGCUUUAUUUUUAAACCUUUUUUUUAGUUUUGCUGGAAGGCUGAGAACCAACAUGUAGAUAGAAAGGAAUAUCUGGGGAGAAUCAGAACAUAAACGUAACACUUCUAAUUAAUCUAAGAGUUAAAGUGCUAAAUAUGAAUGAGAUAUUUAUUACCUUUGCCAGAAAAGCUUAAAUCAAUUCUAGACUUUUCCAAGAUUGGUGGUUCCGGACCCCUGACCCCCUUGGGAUUUCUGCCCAUGAGUUUUAAUGUACACGAGUGUAUGCAAGUUGAAUUUCAGAAAUUCACUUUAAAUCUAAUAAGUUACUCAUAGAUCCCUCACAUUUAAAUUCCAUAUGGUUGCAGUCACUGAUCGCAAAUCGUGUGUUUUUAUUCCGUCUUUGUGUCUUUAAAUCCAAAGUGGCGCCAUGUAAAUGAAUGGACUCUUCUUUUUGUUUGUGAAGCCCCUUCACAGUGCUGGACCUUUACAAUUUUGCCCAGUUAAUAUUGGACUUUUUUCCUCUAAAUUUGUCUGACGCCAGACAAAAUAUAUAUUUUUUUAAAUUACAAGAAAGUUUGGCCCCUUGAAAAAGAAAAGAUGGGUGGAGGUUUUCUGUACGGUCCAAAGUGUAGCUUGAUAUCGCUAGGUAAUUUCAGACACCUGAAGCGUUUGUCAGAUCAUAGUUUGGCAAUGAACACAACCACUUCUGAUCAUUAUGGAUUACUUUGUCAUUUUGCAUCAUAAAGGUCAAUAAGUAGCGAUCACAGAUUGUGUGUUUUCGCAUCAUGCUGUUGGGAAUGCUGAAACAAAGGGUAGGGAUGGCUUACAACUCACAAACGUACGAGUUGUAUUUGGCAGUUCCUAUUUUGUUUAACAGGUUUAUUUAGAGGGUGUAAGGUUCCUUUAUUUCAAGCUGAAACUUUAGGGUUUAUUACAUAUUAAAAUAGAAUUGAUUGACAAUGACUUAAAAAAAAAAUUAUAAUAAAUAGGACAUUGUUGGAGAACCUAAACCUGCUAAGUCUCACUACUUUCUCCCUGGCAUGUCUGCUGUGUUCCUUCUCCAUGAGGCUUCAUGAUGUUAUGUAACUUCACAGAACAGCUGGACUUUCAUUGAGAGUAAAUUACACACAGGCGACGACGUUCACGCCACACUUUUCGUGUAAUCAUUUGUCUAAGAAAAACCUUUCAGAACCACGAACAGUUUUCCUUCAUCGUCACAGUUCUACACUACGUUGUGUCUUUUCAAAAAUAGAAGUGAAUGUACUCUUCUUGUUCACGUUAAAGCUAAAAUUAAAAAGAAAAAAACAAACAAACACCCACACGGUCACAUUCAGAAGUUUUGAUGUGAUCUUAUUUUUGGAGCUGCUCUUGUCUUCUCACCCACAGAAGGAAUUUCUGGGAAAACACAUUUCAGCUCUUCUCUUUGAUAAAUGAGUUCCAGGUGAAGAAACUGGAUAAAUAAAGUGGUUCCUGUCAGCAGCCUGCUGCUGCUACUUCUGAGACGCAGACACGGGUUCUUACUCAAGAGCCUCGAAAAGCCAAUAACAGUGUAUAUAAUACUUUGUAAAAAUAAAAUGAAACAGAAUGCUCAUGCUGCAGUGCGCCAUAUUAAACCAGUCUAAAUUUGUUGGCUGUGGUUGGAAUACCAGCCUUUCUUCUUCCAAUCAGAUCCUCCAGGAAGCUUCAGUCUGCGGUUUCACUCACACUGUAAUGAUGCCCAAUGCUGUUUCAACAUCACUGACAGAUUUUUAACUUCAUUUUUGUUCCUUUUCCAUUGCUUAAUAUUACAACCACAAAAUUCUAAGUAUUUUAUUUAUUUUGGGAGAGGGGGGAUUUUACAUGAAAGGGUAAUAAAGUAGUAUAUGCUCAGGGUUUUGAAUAUUUUCAUAAAUAUAUGCAAUAGAAUGGUUGAAUUUAUUGCCAAUUCAACCAUUUGCAAUAAAAUCAAAUGAAGCUGAAUGCCUGUAGAAGUUAGUACAGAAACAAUGAACAAUUUUUAAUUUGACUAUAUUCUCUAUGUACUCUACUCAAAAACUAUUUUUGUUGUUAAAUUAUUAAAUAAAUAUGUGCUCAACAACAAAGAUAUAUUUGUUGUUUUUAAUCUGUUAUUCAAUCAUCAGAUCGGUGCAAAGUGCUAUUAUUCAGCUCUCGAGUGUUUCAGGAACCCCUGAUCAUUCAUGUUUAAAAAAAUCAAACUUUUAGAAAUGUGGGCUGUGAACGCUAGCAUUAGCAUUAGCGUCCGUGCUAAUGUUUUGCAUUGAGAUGCUAUUUUAGGCUUGAAUAACUUUGCUGAUAGGCUAGCACCUUUUAGCACAACUUGAAGACAACAGUAGUGUUUUCCAGCGAGACAUGGUGUCGUUUUUUUUUAAGCAAAUAUUGACCCUCAGUGGACCAAGACAAACUUCUUCAUUGUCCAGCGCUUGGGCGUCAGAUUUACGGGUGCACCAGAAAAGGCUGAAUAUAAAGGUUCCUUGAAAUUUGUGUACAGUAAUUACUUAACCAAAUUAACGUGUUAAAGUUCCCAGCCCUAAUCUUUUUUUAUAAACAAAAAUUCUAAUUUAUUUUACUGUGAAGCCUUCUCUUUCACCUGCUCUGCAAUAAAUAAAAUCUCCAAUAUUUCGAUGAACAUAAGUAGAAAGGAACAAAUUAUUGUAGCUCU